ACUGGUUGCACAUUGUUGGCGGUUUAUUAGCUGCGCUUUGAUGAUUGUAGUGCCAGUUAAUAGAACGAGUAUUGGCUAGCUUCAGAGUUGGCCGAUUAUAAGUGACAGUGACUUAAAAAUACCUGGAACUGUUGGGAUAAGUUCUUUCUUAACUACCGAUCAGUGUUGUCCGACUGGGAGUAGGUGAUCAAUUUCAAUUCAUAUGUUCACGUUUAUCAAGAUAAUUUUCAUUGGAUCAGUAAACAUAGAAAUAAAAGUAUAAGCUUAUAAUAAAUAUUUACAUAUAUUCUGCUAACCAAAUGUUCACAGUACCAAACUAAAGGUAAAAGUGGAGUAUUUUCUUUUGAGUUUUUAAACUUGCAGACUAAUCAAAGGACUUUGAAUACGUGGAAAAAAUAAAGGGUGGCAGUCAUAGGACUUCAAUACAUUAUUUUUUAUGGGUAACCAGAUGAUGACCAUCUCUAGUUUUCUACUAAUUUUGUGCCAAUCGUGCGUUCCAUUGAUUUUUAUAUCGCAUUGCAACGUUGAACACUGGCUACUGAAGCUGUGUAAUUGACGCCAUGUACGAGCAUGUGUGCAUUGUGCAGCAUAAAAAGUUGAUUAGAGCUGGGAGAGCAGGGAGCAGCAGCGGUAGCCGGGUCCAACAAUUACUAACCCGAUGCCAACAUGGACAAAGGCACAUGGUCGAACAAAUUCUACGCUUUGUGGGCAAAUUAGCUGCACGAGAAAACAAAGCAUCGCAUCGCAAUGCGAAUGCAAAUGCAAAUGCCAGGCUAGCGAUAAACGUGGAGCUGAAGCAGACGUCACUGACAACAUCAGAGAAAUGGAUGCCGCAUCGGUGGCCUUCAACGGAAGCGAAGGCAGCCGCCACAUUAGCAGCUCUUUUGGUCAUUACCUAUUUUUGUUGUAUGCCCUGUGCUGCCGCCACGCAUUUGGACAAAAGAUUGCCCGCUGGUUUUUGGAUGCGCGCGUGCCUUGUGCGGCCUUUUGCCGCGUUUUGCCAAACAAUGAAAACGCUUUUCAAUUGUUGUUGCUGCAGCUUCUGCUGUUUGGCUAACAGGCGCUGCCAAUGGCCCGUCACGUCUUGUCAUAUGCAUUCGAGCUAACACAAAAUUAGGGCUUUCUAUUCUGAGCCUAUUUCAGAAAUGUCGCACAUAAAAGCAUAAAUAAUAGCGAUUUUGGCGCUUUAACUUGAGCUCUCUGUAGAAGCUUCAAAUUAAAUAAAAUAUUACAAAAAUGAAUGCUUGCCGCUUGCAAUUUUCAACAAGUUAAAGCUUCGAUAGAGGCUUAUAUUUGAAUUGGCUUUAUUUCUCGGUUCUUAUGCCUUAAGCUCGAGCCGGUCAGAUAAAUAUUUUAUUUUAUUUUAUUUAGUAUUUUAAAAGAGUUCUGUUAAAUCAAAAGAGUCUACCAAGUAUUGAAAAGUUUAAACCGGAAAACCACUCGUAGCUCAGUUUAAAAAGCUUUUGCGGUUUUAUGAUGGCUAAUAAUGUAAGUUUGCCAUGAAAUACAAUUCGUUUCCGAAAUAGCUAUUGUACGACGUGUGAGCUAUAAAAUGUAAGUUGAGGCGGCUUAUCUUUUGAGACCUACAUUUUUUGGGGCUGGGCACUUCAAACUUUGCGCAUCGAUGCAAAUCGAUCAUCAAAAUUUACGAGACAUUGCUCGGAAAAUGCGUCAUAAAAUUGCGCCAGAAAACUAAUUAAGUACAUAAAAUGCGAAUUAAUGGCUUUCAAAGUGCCGUAAAAAUGCACAGCGCAACAAUUAGCCAAAAGUCCUAAGGAUGUGCGAUGUGAAAUGCAAUGGAAUGCGAAUAUGUUGUCAGCCGUAAAAUCAAAACGAGACUUCAACUCGGCCUGACAAUGUGGUGUGGUGUACGGCCAAUGCAAAAGCUGGAGCGGCCUUUUGGCAAUGAAACCCAAUGCAAAGUCGUUAAAAGCAUCCAAAGUUGUUGCCGGAAAGAGCAGAAUCGGGUAUUUACACUAUUUAACUGAUGAAAAGUCUGAAUAUGCUCUCUAUCAGCUUAUGUUGUGCUCGAGAAUUUAAACAAAAAUUACUGAUAAAUAUAGUUAUACUGGAAAAAA